GUGGAGAUGGCAAAGGUGCUUGUGAAGAUGAGGCAAAUUCACUAGUUCAAACAUUAGGCGGAGCUUAGCGUUGAUGAUGAGGAAAAGAAAGUGUUCUUUGAUCAGUGGUAGAUUCCAAAGAUCAUGUAAAUUUGAGUAGUGCCUCCAUUGACCAAGAGAUGAUUCAGCCAACCAAGAAGUAUUGAAAUGAAGUCUCGUGUUGAAGGUGGCAGAAUUAUGUCUAUGAGUUUAGAGCAUCACCAUUGAAAAAUGACAGUAGCAUUACAACAUUGACAGUAGCUUUAUGUAACUAUUAUACUAGAUUUUCACAGCUAUGGUAGUGGCUUUUUA